rnacentral:tRNA from 1 species
UUCCAGGUGGCUCAGUAGUAAAGAAUCAGCCUGCCAAGUGGAAGACCCAGGUUCCAACCCUGGCUUGCGAA